GCCAGGGGCAGCAGCAGAAGAUGCCAGGAGAGAACAGAGAAUAUUCUGGGUCAAAGUCUUUGUUGAAGCUAAGGUGGUGCAUUUGGAGACCCCAUUUCUCCAUCCUGCAGAAGGGUGUCCCAGAGCAGAAGACACAAUGGGGAGUCGCAGAGCCCAGCAUGGAAAGGAAAGACAAAACCACAUCACUGUGUUGCUGAUACACCAGACAGGACCAGAAAGGAGGCAUUGAAUGGUCAGUCUCCAAGCCAUAGGAUUUCCAGAAGAAGGUGGGAGAGGAGACGCUGGGCUGCAGAAAUCACUGAGCCAACCAGACAGAGCAUGGGGGGCGAGCACGUUCAGGGGCCCAGAACCUGGGCUCACCAAAGGGUCUGACUGAGAAUCUUACUCUACUCACGCAGGGCUCUUCUUCUUCAGUCCCCCACACCUCUACCUCCCCUCUGCACUGGGCUUCUUGCAUCUUUUAAGGACAUUUCUACUUGUUUACAAAUGUGGCCACAUCCUCCCACCUGGGAAACAUAUAUAUGUAUGAAAAGAAACCCAGAAGGCUCAUAUAUAUAUGCAUGAGCUUUCUAGGUUUCUUUUCUUUUCUGUUUAUUUUGAGGCAGGGUCUCACUCUGUUGUCCAGGCUGGAGUGCAGUGGUGCAAUCUCAGCUCACUGCAGCCUUCACCACCCAGGCUCAGGUGAUCCUCCCACCUCAGCCUCCUGAGGAGCUGGGACGACAGGUGCGUGCCACCAUGCCCACCUUCUAUGUUUCAACACUCACCUAUUGCUCAUGACACUCCUCUGAAGUGAGUAGGAUCCCCAGCUUCCAUAGGAGGUAAUAACAGUGGAAAGAACACAGGCCUGGCAUGGGACAGCCCCAGGUCUGAACCCCAACUCUGACACAGUAGCUCAGUGACCCGGACAAGGCGCUCGUUCCCUCUAAGCCUCAGUUACCUGGUCUGGAAGAUGGAGAUGAGAGACCUCCUCACUGGGGUAUUGUGAGCAUCGACCUUACCAAUGUGGGGAAAGUGCCAGCACUCAGUAAGUGGUGGCAACAAGGAUUAUUCCUGUUCCUCAGAGAGGCGGAGUAACCACAAGGCAGAACUGGGACUUGAGCACGGCCAGCAGACCCAAGUCACGGGAAAAUUGCCAAGAAUGGGCACCCUGGUACAAAGCAAGGAAUGUGACGGCAUAAGCAGGGGGCUGGCCCCCGAAUCACCUUCACAGGGAGCCCGGGCCUAUUUCAGGGUCCUCUGUGGGGACGGAAGCAGAAACAAUACUCAGGCCAGUAUAGGGGCCAGGACUUCAUGGGGCUCAGGGGUUUUAGGCAAUUCCAAAAGGUUGUCACCAGCUAUUGAAUAAAAUUGGUCACCCUCGGUUCCAAAGCAGAAGGGCUAAUGUGCCGUAACAUAUUGAAUGGAUUCAGUGUCUUUCUGCAAAGGAGAUCAAAGCACUUCAAAAUCAUUUCCUGCACACUCUCCUGAGAAGCAGCCAGGGAGGAAAACCUGUUUCAUCUACGAGAUACGCUUGGUGUCAGUCACCAUCUCUGAGAUUGUAGAAUUCUUUCUGUUUCCAAAAGGCUUUGGCAUGCCGCCUCAGUGGCACCUUGGGAGGUAGACCGGUGGGACUGACCCAUUUUACAGACAGGUAAGUGGGAGCCCAGGGAGCCUGGGAGCCUUUCCCAAGUGAGGACUUGCCCCUCGCAGAUGGCCACAGCACACUGGCAUAUCCAUGGCCCACUGUGAAACCCACACAGACCACAACAGGGCCAGGUCCUGGAAGACCAGGAUGAGGUUGGCCUUUGAAUCAACAGCUCACAACAGUGCCGCAAAUGCCCCACUCUCUGAACUCCAGGAGCCGGUGCCUAAGUACAAUGGAAGUGGCCUCCUGGGCCUCUGAAGCCUGAAUGACAGGCAGAUCCCCCAGCCACUCUAAGUCUCACACUGGGGAGGCAUCCUCCCUGCAUUGCUGAGUCUGCUAUUUUCUCCUUCCCGUGGCACCCCCAUACUCCUCCUGUGCCCUCAAUCCCUCCCCCUCCAUUCACCCCGGGCUCUUGUUCAGUCCCCCACACCUCUAUCUCCCUUCUGCUCUGGGCUUCUUGCAUCUUUUAAGGACAUUUCUCCUUGUCUACAAAUGUGGCCAUGUCCUCCCACCUGGGAAAAACCUUCCCCAGACCCUGUCAUCCAUCAGCUUAGUCACUGCCCACUGCCCCUCCCACCCCCUCCUCUCCUGACACGCUUCCCCUGGAUUGAUCUACGUGAUCACUUCUAGUUUUUUCCUACACGCUACUGAGUCCUCCAAGCAGACUUUCACCCUAACCCUUUACUGCCGUUGCUCACCAAUCACCAUUCCCAUUCUCCUAAAUAAUAACUGCUGCAUACUGAGGAGUCUACAGCCGCAGGUGCUAUGCCAUCCACCUUAAAAUGACCUUGUGAGAUGGGUACUGUUAAGCCAGGUUACAGACAAGGCAAUGGAGGCUCACAGUAAGCAUCUGGGUUCAAGUUCCCAACAGUCCAAGUCUAAAGCCAGGGCUUCUCCUCCUGGCCUCAGCCUUCACUAUGUGCCUGGCAUAGGUAGACCUCAGCCCUCCCCUUCCUCCAGCACCCACCUUCUGCCUCCACCCAUGCAUGUCCCGAGCUUCUUCCUUCAUCGCUCUCGCCUCACUCCUCCACUCUCCCCUGGCUUCAGCCAAGACUCUCUGAGAUGGUCCCCAAGCCCACCCCUCUGGCUCCAAUCCCUGUCCCAGAUUUGAGGUUUAUGUUUCUAAAUCCAGGAGGUCUCAGCUCCUUGGCUGCUCAACUUCCUGGGCUCUUCCAAUACCAUGUUGCUAUUUUAUUUUUAUUUUUAUUU
rnacentral:lncRNA from 1 species